UGGAGGGCAAGUCUGGUGCCAGCAGCCGCGGUAAUUCCAGCUCCAAUAGCGUAUAUUAAAGUUGUUGAGGCUAAAAAGCUCGUAGUUGAACCUUGGGUCUAGCCGGCCGGUCCGCCUCACCGCGUGCACUGGCCCGGCUGGACCUUUCCUUCUGGAGAACCCCAUGUCCUUCACUGGGUGUGGUGGGGAACCAGGACUUUUACUCUGAACAAAUUAGAUCGCUUAAAGAAGGCCUAUGCUCGAAUACAUUAGCAUGGAAUAAUAGAAUAGGACGUGUGGUUCUAUUUUGUUGGUUUCUAGGACCGCCGUAAUGAUUAAUAGGGACAGUCGGGGGCAUCAGUAUUCAAUUGUCAGAGGUGAAAUUCUUGGAUUUAUUGAAGACUAACUACUGCGAAAGCAUUUGCCAAGGAUGUUUUCAUUAAUCAGGAACGAAAGUUAGGGGAUCGAAGACGAUCAGAUACUGUCGUAGUCUUAACCAUAAACUAUGCCGAUUAGGGAUCGGACGGUGUUAUUUUUUGACCCGUUCGGCACCUUACGGGAAAC
rnacentral:rRNA from 1 species